CCUACGGGUGGCAGCAGUGGGGAAUAUUUCACAAUGGGGGAAACCCUGAUGCAGCGACGCCGCGUGAGUGAAGAAGUAUUUCGGUAUGUAAAGCUCUAUCAGCAGGGAAGAAAAUGACGGUACCUGAUCAAGAAGCCCCGGCUAACUACGUGCCAGCAGCCGCGGUAACACGUAGGGGGCAAGCGUUAUCCGGAUUUACUGGGUGUAAAGGGAGCGUAGACGGCAGCACAAGUCUGGAGUGAAAUGCCGGGGCUUAACCCCGGCACUGCUUUGGAAACUGUGCAGCUAGAGUACAGGAGGGGGAAGUGGAAUUCGCGGUGUAGCGGUGAAAUGCGUAGAUAUUAGGAGGAACACCAGUGGCGAAGGCGGCUUACUGGACUGUAACUGACGUUGAGGCACGAAAGCGUGGGGAGCGAACAGGAUUAGAUACCCUUGUAGUC
rnacentral:rRNA from 1 species